CUUGACAGUGGUGAGUCCUACAGGUUGGGCACGUUGUGGUCGGAUCAGAUUUUGUUGUAUCUACCUGGAAGCAGACGGAGCUCACCUGAAGGUGAAACGCUUUCCUUCCCGGCUCUCGUCAGUCCGCUCGCUUUCCUCUCCGCUGUGAGACUUUAAUGAACCGGGAGCGAGGCAGCGCACUUUGGCAGCGGAUAAAUUAUUAACCUGACAACUCCGGCAGCAGUUCACAGGAGAGCUGACAUGAGGAGCUGAGCCAAGCGGCAGCGGAGUGCUCCUCCUGCCCGCCCGCCUGUCUCUUGUCUCUGUCCCGGAAAGACAAAGACAGGCCCACAGGUGUCUUUAUAUUGUCCUCUGACCUGGAUACACCGCGCUGUGAUCAUGCUGGGAGCGGAGAGCAGGCUGGAGACCCGGCUCAAGAAGCUGGAGUCCCUCAUGAGGAGCCCACAGUCGGCUCUAAACUUGGGAACUCUGCUGGACUCCAUGAACGCGCUGGCUCAUGAUUUGAACUAUCCUGCCCUGCGGAAAAACAAGAACAUCGAGGCCUUUCUGAGCCGAUAUGAAAAGGCUGUGAGUCAGCUGCGAGAGCUGCAGGUGAAGCUCGAAGACUUCGAGAAAGUGAAGCUAAUCGGGAGAGGAGCCUACGGAGAAGUGCAGCUGGUCCGUCACAAGGCCUCCCGGAAGGUCUACGCCAUGAAGCAGCUCAACAAGUUUGAGAUGAUCAAGCGGUCGGAGUCUGCCUUCUUCUGGGAGGAGAGGCACAUCAUGGCCUUUUCCAACAGUCCCUGGGUCGUCCAGCUGUGCUGUGCUUUCCAAGACGACCACCACCUCUACAUGGUGAUGGAGUUCAUGCCCGGAGGCGACCUGGUCACGCUCACCAUGAACUACGACAUACCCGAGAAGUGGGCUCGCUUUUACACGGCCGAGGUAGUGCUGGCACUGAACGCCAUCCACGACAUGGGCUUCAUCCAUCGGGACAUCAAACCCGACAACAUGCUGCUGGACCAACACGGACACCUCAAGCUGGCAGAUUUCGGCACGUGCAUGAAGAUGGACUCGACAGGCAUGGUGCACUGUGACACAGCUGUAGGCACACCAGACUACAUCUCCCCCGAGGUGCUUCAGUCCCAGGGUGGCGACGGUCACUACGGCCGGGAAUGCGACUGGUGGUCCGUAGGGGUCUUUAUCUAUGAGUUGCUGGUUGCUGAAACUCCGUUCUACGCUGAGUCCCUGGUUGGAACUUACGGGAAGAUCAUGAACCACAAGAACACGCUCAUCUUCCCAGAUCAUAUAGAGAUGUCUCAGGACGCCAAAGACCUCAUCUGUGCCUUUCUUACCGACAGGGAGGUUCGUCUGGGCCGCACCGGAGUGGAUGAGAUCAAAUGCCACCCUUUCUUCAAGAACGACCAGUGGACCUUUGACAACAUCCGAGAUACUGUGGCUCCAGUCGUGCCUGAGCUGAACAGCGACAUAGACACCAGUAACUUCGACGACAUAGAGAAUGAUAAAGGAGAUGCUGAGACCUUCCCUCCUCCCAAAGCCUUUGUGGGCAACCAGCUGCCAUUUGUGGGCUUCACUUACUUCAAGGAGGACCAGCUGCUGAAGGGAAGUAACAACUGCUCUUUGGUGGAGUCAGAAGACAUUAAGGAAAACUCUGAGGAUAAGGAGAAUUGCUCGGACAGCAAAAAAGAGCUGCAGAAGAAGCUUCAUAAGCUGGAGGAGCAGCUCGACCAUGAGAUGCAGGCCAAAGAUGAGCUGGAGCACAAGUGCAAAAAUGCCACCAACCGUUUAGACAAGCUGGUCAAAGAAUUAGACAAGGAGAUGAGCAGCAGGCAGAAAGUGGAGGCCUCGCUGAGGCAGCUGGAGAUGGAGCGAGCUCUGCUGCAGCACCAGAGCGCCGAGAACCUGCGCAAGGUGGAGAUUGAAACUGACAGAAAACGCAGCCUGGAGAACGAAUUGAACAACCUGAGGGACCAGCUAGAGGAUCUUAGGAAGAGGAACCAGAAUUCCCAGAUCUCCAAUGAGAAGAACGUCCAGCUGCAGAAACAACUCGAGGAGGCCAACGCCGUGCUGCAGGCUGAGCAGGAGGCGGCAGCGCGGCUGAAGAAGAGUCAGGCGGAGGCGCAGAAACAGGCUCAGAGCCUGGAGGUCAGCCUCAGGGAGAUGCAGGAAAAGUGCAGCCAGCUUGAAAACAGCAAGAUGGAGCUGGAGAAGCAACUGAUGGGGCUGCAGGCCGAGCUGGAGGAGGAGAGAAGAGACCGUAACCUCGGGAAAGAAACUAUUACUGACCUGCAGGGACGUAUCUCUGGCCUGGAAGAAGAGGUGAAAGAGGUGAAGGCAUCUCUGUCCAAGGUCAAGACUGAAAAGAAGCAGCUGCAUGAGAAGAUAAAUGAGCUCGAGAAGGCGAAGAGCAACCAAGAGAUUGACUUGACGUUCAAGCUGAAGUCGCUCCAGCAGAGUCUGGAGCAGGAGGAGGCAGAACACAAGGCCACCAAAGCCAAGCUGGCAGAUAAAAACCACAUCUACCAGUCCAUCGAGGAGGCGAAAUCAGAGGCCUUAAAAGAGAUGGAGAGCACCCUGCAGGAGGAGCGCAGCCAGAAGCUGCAGGUGGAGGGAAAGCUGCUGCAACAGGAGAAGGACCUGUCCAUGCUGGAGCGCGACUACAAGCAGGCACAGCACAAAGUGGAGGAGCUGCAGGCACAGAAGGCCAAACUUUCUGAGGAGGUAAAGAGCCUGGGCUUGCGUCUGGAGCAGGAGGUCCACAAGCGCAGCCUGAGUCAGAGCGAUCUGAAGAUGCAGAACCAGCAGGUGUCGGUGCUUCGCACCUCCGAGAAACAGCUCAAACAGGAGCUCAACCACCUGCUGGACAUGAAGCAGGUCCUGGAGAAACAGAACCAGGAGCUCCGCAGGGAGAAACAGGAGGCUGGUGACCAGCUGAAGGAGCUGAAGGACCAACUGGAGGCUGAGCAGUAUUUCACAACCCUUUACAAGACACAGAUUCGUGAGCUGAAGGACGAGCGAGAUGAGAGGAAUAAGCUGUACAAAGAGCUGCAGCAGCGACUGGCAGAAUAUCAGGAGGAGAGGGACUCCCUGACAACCCAGCUGGAGGCCAGUCUGACCAAGGCGGACUCUGAGCAGCUGGCUCGCUCCAUCGCUGAGGAGCAGUAUUCGGACCUGGAGAAGGAGAAGAUCAUGAAGGAGCUGGAGAUUAAAGACAUGAUGGCGAGACACAAACAGGAGCUCAGUGACAAGGAGGCCACCAUCAGCUCGCUGGAGGAGUCCAACCGCACUCUGACGGUGGAUGUGGCUAACCUGGCCAGCGAGAAAGAGGAGCUCAACAACCAGCUGAAAGACAUGCAGCAACAGUUCCAGAAAGCCAAGGAGGAGGAGAAGCACAUGAACUCGCUCAAACUGUCCUUUGAAAAGCAGCUGCAGAAUGAAAGGACACUAAAAAUUCAGGCUGUCAACAAGCUGGCUGAGGUGAUGAACAGGAGGGAGACGGUGCGAGGAGGCCACCGAGGCACCGGCACCGAGGUGCACAGGAAGGAGAAGGAGAACAGGAAGCUGCAGCUGGAGCUGAGAGCAGAGAAGGAGAAGCUAAACAGCACCAUCAUCAAAUACCAGAGAGAGAUGAUGGAUAUGCAGGCGCUGAUAGCAGAAGAGAACCAGGUGCGUCUGGAGCUUCAGAUGGCGUUGGACAGCAAAGACAGCGAUAUCGAGCAGCUGCGUUGCCAGAUCUCUUCCCUUAGCGUUCACUCUCUGGACUCCACCAGCAUCAGCAGUGGAAAUGACCUGGACAUGGGUGAAGGAUACCCAGUGCACAUUACUCACUCUCACACCUCCGAAUCAAUGUCCUUCACCUACCAGCGCACACACAAAUCUGUGCGCAUCGACACACGACCCAACCUUCACUCUGCCCACUCUCUCUUCGAUUCUGACUCUGACAACGACAACGAAGAAGAAUAUGACGGGCAGGUGGAGGAGGGCCACCGUCCCCUGGCCCUCACCUACGAACAGCCCCCUGAGGCUGAACCUGCAGACUCCAGGCUGGAGGGCUGGAUUUCAGUUCCUAACAAGAAAGAAAAGCGGUUUGGCUGGGAAAAAAAAUAUAUAGUUGUGAGCAGUAAGAAGAUCCUGUUCUACAACAGCGAGCAGGACCGAGAGCAGGCCAACCCUUUCAUGACCCUGGACAUUGAUAAGCUGUUUCAUGUCCGCCCUGUCACUCAAACUGAUGUGUACCGUGCAGAUGCCAGAGAAAUUCCAAGGAUAUUCCAGAUCCUGUAUGCCAAUGAAGGCGAGAUCAAACGGGAUCAGGAGGUCGCAGUUGAGCCAGCGGCAUUUGGCGAACGUCCCUCCUACAUCAGCCACAAGGGCCACGAGUUCAUAAUCACUCUGUACCACUUCCCAUCCAGCUGCGAGGCCUGCACUCGGCCCCUGUGGCAUGUUUUCAAGCCCCCGCCAGCCCUUGAGUGCCGCCGCUGUCGCACCAAGUGCCACAAGGAUCACCUGGACAAAAAGGAGGAAGUGAUUGUGCCCUGCAAGGUGAACUAUGACAUGUCCACCGCCAAAGAGCUGCUUCUGCUGGCCAACUCCAAGGAGGACCAGCAGCGCUGGGUCAGUAACCUCCUGAAACGCAUCCCGAGGAAACACCCGACGUUGAGUCCUCCCGCAGCAAUACAAAACAGCCUUCCUGAAGCAACAGCGCGCUCGUCUCCACAAGCCUCUCCGCGGCCUUCACCCAGGGGGUCGCCUCAUAUGUCGGCGAGACAUCGCGGAGCCAUCAAGGUCCAGCCCAGCAGACAGCAACAGCCGUCAGGGAAGCCCAGCACUGGCCCCAUGCUCCGUAUCAUCCUCCACUGACCUCUGACCCCGACCCCACCAUUCUAACGUCUCUCAUGCUGGGAGACUAUUGCUUGAGUUUGGCCUGAAAGACUGGAGUUGGCCAUUGGAUGAUGACGAUAAUGAUGAUGAUGAUGAUGAUGAUAUGUUCUUCUGAAGGAAGUGAAAGAGGGGGGACAGAGGUUAACCCUGGCUGAUCAAAGAUGUGUGUUUUCAUCUUUGUGGAUUAAUGACCGCAGUCUGGACGCAGUGCCUACAUGUGUCAUUUCUUCAGGGAAGUAGACUGGAGAAAAAAAAAAAAAAAACAUUAAUCAUGGAGAGAAACAUUCACAGAAACCGGCUGUCGUCAUGAGAACUGAGGCUGCCUUUGUCGUUGUAACAAGAGGAAGAAAAUGAGUAUUCAUAUUAGAGUGAGAUUUUAACUAAAGGGAAAAAAAAGGUCAACACUCGGUGAUUAAAACUGCCUUAUUUUAUAACCGUCAUGACAAAAACGUGGACAUUUUAUUCUGUGAGGUGCAGUGACUCACAUGGAUUUGUCUUUGUGAGGUGUUAGGCAUGUGUGUGAACAUUUGUAUAUAGGAUUAAGAGAUCUGUCUGUGUAUUGUAACACAGGAGGUGUAGCUCAUAGAAUAUGAUUGUUUUAUUUUUAUGGAUAUAAGUCAGCAGCACAUUAUGCAGUACAUGCUUGUCUUGUAAAUGAAUACAGUUUUCAUUACACAAAGUAGAUCAAUUAAAACAUGAAACAGAAUAAUGUGAAUUGAAUAGGAACAAUGUGUUAUCUCCUCGACAUUCAUGGCUAAUUCAAAUAAAUUCUAUUACCCUGAAAA